GUAGGCAGCAGACACAGCUUCUUUGUGGUUAGAGAGGACUGUGCCAGUGGGACAGUAGACAGGCUUAAAUUCUGCAUCUCAGCAGCCAAAAUGUGUGGCUAAUAAAUCCCGAACGCUGACAAAGGGUGCGUAGGAUCGGGAAUCUCAGCCCACAGGAUGAACUGGGAAGUGGAAGGUGGAGAUGAUGGCUGAAGUCUGCCAAGAUUCAGAGGAGCACAGCAGCGUGCCAGACCCUCUCUGGAUGUGAGCACUGAACGAUUCUGAAAUCCAGCAUCAAAAAAUUGAACAAAGACAGUCGCAGAAGACUACACUGAGGAGGACAAAAUCAAAAGCACAACUAGAGAAUGCCACUGCAGAUAAAGAUCUAGUGAUUAAUGAAGGCCAUGGAUGAGUCAACAGUGUGUGAUGUCGUUGAGGAAAAGAGAUAAAUGUAAUCCUAGAUUCUCUUGAAUUGUCUGCUAGCAACACUGUAUGUAAGACAGGAGAUAAUUAGCAUGCUCUUUUUGGCACUGGUGAGGACUCAGCUAUAAUACUGCAUUUUAAUCUGAGGCAGCAUUAUUUAACUCAGGAUGUAGAUACAUUGGAAGCAGGGAAAAUCAACAGGGACAUUGUUUGGAAUAACCGUAUUCCUAAAGAAAAACUGAAAGAUUAUUUGUUUUAAUAUAGAAAGUUAAAGGUUAUGUGGGAUUCAACAGUUUUCAAAUACAUAAAAGAUUAUUACAAAGAGGGUGAUAAUACCGUUUUUCACAUCCACUAAAUAUGUGGACAGAAUAUGAAGGAUUUUUUUUUACAUGACAUGAUAUGUGGUAACAUGUUGUAACUAGAAGAAAAGAUUAGUACCAAAAGGUAUUACCCAAGAAUGUUGUACAUUCCAUGUCACUCAUGUUUUUAAGUAUAAAUCAGAGGGACUGCCACCUACUGUUAUCGAGAUAAUUGUGGUCUUUCUUCACAGCGAGAAGAUGGAUCAGAUGAAUAUCUCACAGUUGGUGGAUGAGAUCCCUAGAACUACGAUGGAGCGUUCAAGUUAUUACAAAUUCUUCCUUCCUCCUCAUCUUUGAUGACUGCCUUCUUUGGACGACACAGUGAGCUGCCUGAUUUUGUCACAUCUAUGUGAAGAGCAUUUCCCUAGAGUGCAAUGUGAGCCCAGUUCUUUGCUCUGCUGCAACAUAUCCUAAGAGGUGGGUACAGUUUAAGAUUAUAGGAAGAAAGACAGCAUUUGCACUCUAUCAAUAUUAAUUUCACACAUUCCCUCUUGCAUUCUUGAUGCCAUCUCCGCCCAUAUCCUGCUUUUACAUACAUCCGUGUGCAGGGGACAGAGGAAUGCGGGGUGAGCCAACCUGACUGUAGGCUGAGUCAUCCUGGGAAGGCAGAUGUCAUACAACAAUUAGGUUAGUAAAGAAGGAAGUGUGCCAGCAAAACAGGUGAUCUGAGCAAUGCAUGGCACCCCACGUGCCAAAAUGGAUACUGCACAGUGCUGUGCUAUAGCAGAGAAAUGCAGAGAAGAGUACAAGUAUGUAUAUUCACAGUGGCCUUCAAAAGAAAAAUUAAAGAGAGAACAAAACUCAGCCCAUUUCUUUUCAUGGAUCUCUUUAACACCAAAGAUGUAUAUAUAAUGACUCAGUAAUGGAUACAGUGGUGUAUACUAUAAACCUCUCAGCAUUUUGGUCACUUUUAUUUGUGUGUCAUUUCCUAGGAAUGGAAGCUUGAAAGAAGGAUCAUAAACACAAUUUAUGAGUAUGCAACAAUUAUGCUAUUUAUUGGGUUAUACGUGCAGUAAAUGUCGAGGACUAAUAUGCUAUUAGCCUAAACACUAAUGCACUUACUAUCUCUGAUGCAGGUACCUGCUGAGUUUCUGCCAGUCAGGCAGAUGGUAAUCACAUGGAGAAGUGUCAGUCUCUACUGCUCCUUUUAAAAGGCUGAUCCUCAGUUUUGCUGAGUUGUUUUCUGUAUUUUUUUUCUUAAGGUUUUAUAGCUUUUUCAAUUAAUAUUUUUUCUUCAGUCCUUGAGUGAUUUCUACUGACUCAACAGUUUCACUACUAUCCUCAUUUCAGAUCUUUUUUUAAAUGUGUCUUGCUUGGUUUAAAUUUAUGUGCUAUCACUCAAAGCUUAGCAACCAUUUUGCUACUAAUGCAGAGAAGGGGUCACAGGGUUGAUCUAGGCUUCAUGUUAAAAUAGUUGGUGUGGGAAAGAUCCACCAAACCGGUGGGAAAGAGACUGGUGUGUUCUUGUUGUUUGACAUGUUUCUAAGGACCUUGUUGGUUUAAAAAUGUAGGCCUUAUCAGAUGGCAAAAAGACUUGAAGAAAUAGAUGCUGACAUGAACACCAGCUGAGGUUAGGGUGUGCUGCAUUGCUGGUGCUAUCGGUGGUCUUUGAAAUGUCAAGAGGAAAAGUCAGGAGGUAUGGCCUUCAAAAGGAGAACAAUUUAAAAAUCAAUGCUGUAGAGCUGAAAACUAAACAGUGCUGUGCAAUAUUCUGCCUUCAGCCAUGUACGGAUUUAUAUCUAACCCCUGGCGCAGUUUGCUCAGAGCAUUUUUGGCUGUCUCCAUCCUUGGCAGUUUGCAAGAUGCAACUGAGUGAAGCCCUGAGCAGCCUGGCCUGUGGGUCCAUGCUCUGCACUGACACUGUUUUGAGUGAGAGUUGUUGGACUGGAGACCUCCUGGAGCUCUGUCCAUCUUACAUGAUUUGGUGAUUCUGUGAUUUAAAUUGCCCUUGGAGCCCAAGGAGGUGGAGAGAUGGUGUUGAGAGAAUAGCCCAUGUGACAUUUUCCACAACUUAGUCUCUGUAAGAUCUAGCUGCUGUUGCAAGGUGACCUUGGCCAUCAACCAGCCGGUUGUUCUGGCGGUGUUAACUUCUCUUCUGAGCUAGCACUGUUGGCCCUCGUCCAGUCACCCUGUGAGCUGUUUCAGCUCAAUAACCUGACAGAAGCUGAUAAGUUUCUCUGGAACUGUUGGCUUUCUGCUGAUUUAGUUAGCUGAAUGAUUUCACUGAGAGACAGAUGAGCAUCAUAGCACGAGGAGGAGGUGGGAACGUGUGGCUAAGAUUGGAAGGAGUUUAGGUUGGGCAGGGCCCUUUCAGUGGGAGUGAGCCAUUAAAUUUUCCUUGCUGUCUCAUGAGACAAUGUGAUAUAUCUGCAGCAACUUCAGUUCAGACAUAACAACAAAUUGAGUAAGUCCAAACAAGGAUGUAUCAUCAAGUAAAGAAGAACUCAGAAAUGAAAACUCUUUAAUUCUGAGAUGAUGAAAAACGUGGAACUGUGCAAAAUGGAACAUGAAAGCAUAGCAAUCAGUGAAAAAUAAUGUUCAAGGAAAGACAAACAGAAAUAUAUGAGACCUCGCAGUUGAAGCUGAAUCUCAUGCCAUGUUAGGAAACCACAGAUCUUGUUUACCGAGUUACAAAAAUCCUGUGUGGCUAGUUUAAACAGGAAAUGGUCUGAUCAGAAGCAAAGAUAGGGAAAUGCAUACAACAGAGAUAAAACAGGUGGGCAAAAAGACUUCAAUGGGACUCAGCCCAACCUUGACAUAAGAUUCUGCUGAAAUGUGAUUUCAAAGAACAGGAGAUUGCCACUGGUUCAGCGGUAGUAUCAGAAAAGCAAGUCAUAGUCCAAUAGGUAGCAGCAACAAUGCAAUGACAGAUGACGUGCUUGUAGCAGAAAUGCUAAAAGCCCACAGUGUCACUGUCAAAAUAAAUUUUUAAAAAGAUGUUGAAUAAAAUCUGAAGGAAAGACAACUUUUGAUGUGGAAGAACAUGAAGUUGUUAGAGUAUUAAAAAAAAAAAAGAGAGACUGGGAAACUCCUUCUCUUCCCUGUGCUAUAGGGGAGGUCAAUCAUAGUGAAAUGCCAUACAAGAUGACACAGAUAAUAGAUGCAGAACUGGAGAAGAGUCUCUGGAUUCAGGCCCAUAAAACUGAACAAUCACACAAAAGAGCAUCCUGAAAGAAUACAUGCAAGGAGAGGCUUUGCUCGUCACCAGUUUCAUUGAUUUUUUGAGGUUACUUAACAGCGGCCUUCACAACACCUUGUGGAACUAGAGCACUCAGCUCAUUCUCCAUCCUCAUGGCCUUGUAGGGAAGGAUGGAUGGUUUGUCUGGGAGUUCAUUUAGGUGAUAGACAGUUUCACUUUGAGGGCUGCACUUGCUUUCUGUUGUUGUUUUGCAUUUAUGAUACAUAGCCAACAUGUAGGCAGCAGAAGUAGCAGCAGACCAUGGGUGGAUUACACAUAUCUUGGAAGCAUAAAUUGUGCUAGUAACAUUUUGUUACUGAGCCAUAGACCUAGAUUAAAAAAAAAGAACAAAACUGUGAGAUGCAUAACCUAGCAAAAAGAUAGUAAGCCAGGCAGGAUUAAAAAUCAGUUAUCAAAGCAAACAUUCCUGAAAGCUUAGUGCUAAGAAUCAAAGUCAUGUUAGAAAAAUACAAAUCCAGGAAAGUAGAACAGCUUGCCUGCCUUGUCCAUAUCCUACUCAUGAAUAAUAAGGACAGAACUGACAGCAAGGCUAGGAAAUUCUUCCACUUUUCACCUCGUUUCAACACGUGGAAGUCAAAGAUACUGAGUCCCAGAACAAAACCAAGACUUUUAGAAUUAUUACCUACAUGUAAUUCUAAUGCUAAAAUAGACCUUGAAAGGUGAAAAUAUCAUAAAUGCUCAAAAAAUAGAUGCCUCAAGACAAAAUGUGCCCAUGAGAAAGUCUAAAUAUUGGGCUCUAUCAUCAGCUUAGGGAGUUGAAAAGCCUAUCAUCUUUCACCAGUCAGCAGGGAACACAGAAAGUAUUUGGUGUCCAGUCUCUGAAUGGCAGUCCCCAAGAAUGCCUCAUAAAAGGAUCGGUUGGAGACCAAUGUGUGUGAAGAAGACACUCAUAAGAGAUCUUAAGAAGACCCACAUUGCAGGAAGAACAGUGAUCAAUCUCAACUACGUCCAUUAGAAACACCAACAAGUGAUAGAUAGGAAUGGAAGACACUAGCUUUCACUGUGUAUUUCACUUUCACUGUCUUGCUGUAGAAAGAAGGCAGUAAGAAGAAGGUAAGAGCUGCUAGAAAAUCAAAUACAGUCCCUCUAAUUGCUUUGUUUUCUCUGUGAAACUACUUGUAUUAGCUACCUUGUUUUAUUAGCUGCCACUGUGGGUAGUAGUUGCAAACCUUACUGAAGGGAAGGAAAAUAAAACUCUCACUCCAGAGAAACAGAGGACAACUGAUGUCCAGGCUAAAGCACUCUGCCAGGAGCCUGUUGCCAAGGCACUGCUGUGUGAUUGCUACAGUCAUGAUAGUCUGGGGAGAAACAUGCCAAGAAGAGCUGGCAGGAGUGGAACUCAGGCAAGUCAUACCACAGUGGAGAUUACAUGAUGCUCAAUUAAAGGGUUUUUGCCUUUCAUGUAUCUUCAAAGGUACCUGAUUCUUGCUGGCAUCCUAAGUAGUAAUGGUUGUUUUUUAUUACCUAGGCUGAAUUAGGGAUCUUCAGUCAAACUACCUUUCAUCUCUCUGUAUUAUCUGUUUUAGAGACAGUUCUGCUGUUGAAUCAUUGAUAUUUGGGUGUGCAAUCUGUUGCUUAUCUAAAAGAUCACUCACAUCUAUGAAACAAGUAGUCCUUUUUUAUUUGAGUUAUCUACCAGGUUGUAUCAGUUGUUUCAGCUUCAGUUCAAGCUGAGAUCUGAAUGUGCUUUUUGAGGUGAUGUUGUCAGUAUAGGAGGGCACACAGACUCACACAGAAUCACAUACAGAAUGGCCCGGGUUGGAAGGUGCCUCAGGGAUCAUGAAUCUCCAACCCCCCUACCACAGACAGGGCCACCAACCUCCACAUUUAGUACUAGACCAGGCUGCCCAAGGCCCCAUCCAACCUGGCCUUGAACACCUCCAGGGACAGAGACUCCUGUUGCCCUGAAUACAGGAAGACUCCAAAGCCAGAAUAUCUUGUUGUUGCUAUAGCAUAGAAUAUGCUAUAGCCAUAUUCUAUCUAAGGUUUAACAGAAAACCACUAUUUCAAUGCUUUUUUUUUCUUUUUUUUCUUUUUAAAGCCAAACUUGGCAGUCUGUUCAUGGCUUUUUUCUACUUUUCUCAUAAAAUCAGACCCACACAUAGCCCAGAUGCCUGAAUUAGAUCUGGGGAAAUUUUUCCACUUUCUUGUACUACAUUUAUAUUUAUGUCCUGAGCAGCAGCAUGUGCUUAUGUUUAUGAGCACAGACCGCUGUUAUAUUAGGUAUCUGCCUCCAUAAAGGAGAAUCAGUGUUUCUUAUAUGUAUUCAUAAGGAGAAUUUAUUCAGUAUUUUCAUAGAGGUUUAACCUAAUUUCCAAAAUGAAGUUGUUCUUGUUCUCCAAGUUUAACAACUAAAUAUAUAUACAUAUAUGUAAGUCUGGGAAUCUGCCCACCAAAGCCCUUAUGUAUUUAUAUGUGUACAAUGGUAGAAGUAAAGAGCCUUAUGCAGGAGAGGCUUAUAAAUGUGCGUCUUCCUUUUAAGCUCUUACCAAACUAAGUGUGCAUUUAAAAUCAUAGAAUCAUUAAGGUUGGAAAAAACCUCCAAGAUCAUCUAGUCCAACCACCAGCCCAUCCCACCACGCCCACUGACCAUGUCCCUACACCGUUCUGGAACACCUCCAGGGAUGGUGACGCCCCCACCAUCAUCUUUAGCCAAUUCCAAUUCCUCACUGCUCUUUUGGAGGAGAUUUUCCUAAUAUCCAACACACUUUUCUGAGUGGGGGUGCCUGAAGAACAGGCUUCUGGAAUCAAAGCCCUCACUGAAAUGCCACUGCAUGGAUCACCUGCUGCUAGCAAGGUUGACAGCAGCACUGGGGCAUAAACCAUAGCUCACACUUGCCUCACCAGUAAUAAGUGUGCAUCUCGUCAGACAGCAGUUGCACAGGUGAGAUCAUGCCAUAAAGUACCCUGCCCUUCAUGCAGUAGAUGUGUCAAGAUGAAAGCUGUGGGUCCCAGAACAGUCAUGAUGAGGCAGUAUCUAUAUGAUGGCAUUCGAUUUUGUUCUAUAGUCAGAGAACUCAGUUAUAGACUAGAAGACACACACUCUACUAGAACCUUCUCUGCUGCAAAUGAGGUUGAGCUAAUUCCCUAACAGCCCUGGCAGACAAUAGGAAGAGAUAAGAUCCCAGCAGUGGUUGGGGCAGAAUUUCCUAAGGGGCGUGCCUGCCCACCCAGCCUCACUAACGUGGCUCCCGUGGUGUGGAACAAUGAAUAGUGGGGGCUCUUUCUUAUCUCUUGUUAAAAAAUACAUCCUCCUUUGGAUUCCCACUGCUGCCCUGCUCUUGUGCCAGGUAUCAAUUGGGAGGAGUGGCUGCAGGCAUUUGGAAUGGAUAAGGCUCUUCAACAGUUUCAGUUAUUUUCUUGGAUUGAUACUGGAUUAAUUUUAUCUCUGUGAAAACAAAGAGUUUUGAUACUAGACUCAUCUCUCUAGGCUAAUCUGGCAGGUUCAGCCAUAGCUCACAUAAACUCACAUUAAGGGUUAUUUUGAAGAAAGAGAGAAUGUGAGCCAAGACACAAAUAUGGGCUCCUAUUUUUCCUUUGAAAAAUAUGAUUAGUUUUUCGUUUUCCUCUCAGGCAGCGUUAGGCUACUCCCCAGAGUGAGCAAAGGAUCCUUUCUAUUUUGUAGAUAUUCGGAGAAAUUACUUCAAUGUUAUUGGUCCAUAAGUCACUUUCAAAAUGUUCUAGAUACCUCACCACCAGGGAAAGAGCCUGUUAGCAGAGCACACAGCCUAGAAACAGUCAAGAUUCAGUGCAAGGGCAGAGCCGUGCUGCACUCAACAGAUAAAUCAGGAUGACUGCAGAGCUGCAUUCUAGUUUUUUGGCUGUACUAACUCAUAGAGAGCAUGAAACAAGCCUGCUCAGUGUGGUGAAGACAUAUGAAGGAAGGCGUGCUGGAAGAAAUAUUUAUGUUGUAUUAGCAUAUUCUCUGCUGUAAAUGAGCUUGAGCUAAUUACUCAUCAGACCACACAGGGAUGAGAAGGGGAGAUAAGCUCCUAACAUCACAUUAGGAAAAAUUAAUUAAACAGAAUAAACAUAAUCUAUUUGAUUCUGCUAUUUCCUUAUUUCAAUUGCUGGAAUUAGCAAUCUUGGUAAUGUUCUUUUAUAAAUUAUUUAUUUUCUUAAGCAGAAAAAAAGAUAGAAGAAUGAAAACAAGCUGGAAAGAGACAAAUUCCAUCUCAAUACCUGUUUUUCCUCAGCAGAAUUAGAACUGCAUAUUAGCACAGAUUUAUGCUACUGGAACUAAUGGAGUGCCACUCCUAGUCAUGUGUCGUCAUCCUCUGAGUGAAACACUCCCAGAAGAGGGUUGCUGAUGAGCACUGGUGAGAAACAUGAACUGAGGCUUUGCUUCUUGACUGGUGGGACAGGUAAUCAGGUAGAUGAAUACUCCAGACAUAAGUUCAUCUGCUGUGUCUCCUCCAGCUUCUGACCAUCUGUGUUCUUUGCCUUCCCCACUUCAUCUCAGACCCGGUCUCCUCAUGUAGCAAGUCACAGUGGAUCCUAGUUUCUGAUGUCACAAUCCAGUUGUCUCUUUGCUCACUCCUAGCGUGAAAUCUUUUGCUCCCAGUCUUUUUGGUUGGACCAUCCCACCUCCCCAGUCUUUCCUCCAAGCCUCAUUCCUCAUCCAGCAGUUCUGAGAUACAGCAUAUCUGUCUGAGAUUUUCUUUGUGAUGUAUUUGAGCAACUCCCUCCUCUGCAGCCUGGAUUCCAACAGUGGGGCUGCUCACACCCAAGGGACAGCAGCCCUGAGCUUUGUGCUUAGAUGCCUAGGCCUCUUAUGGCUCAUGGUAGCAAAUACCUAUUCACAGUAAAUGGAACAUUUGCAAAAGUUUGCUGUUAAAGCCAUCUUUGUUAAACAUGCAAUAUGCCUUCCUGUACACUUAUUUAAUGAGCAUAAAACCAGCACAUCCCUGACAGAAAUGCUAUCUUUUGUCAGUUUUAAAGUCCUAGCACCAAAGUCGAGAGAUCUAGGUUUUGUCAAAGUAGUCACCGGAAUGCUUAAGCAUAGCAUAUUUUCCCCCACGGCCUGUCAGACAUGUCAGAUAUGUCUGAAUUGUUUUGCACUAGCUCCCCUGAGAAUAUGUGUCAAACAGCAAGUCCUGAAUUAUACAGUUUUGUAUUUUUUAGAUAGGACAAUAGAGUAGAUACAUUUAAUCUUCUAAAAAAAAGCAUACCAGUAUCGUUAAUGACCACUAUACAAACUUCUGUUCUAUAGAGAGGAUAAGAAAUGUACUUGCAAACAAGAAAAAUGAGAUCCUGCUGUUCCAAGGUUUAUGCUCUGCAUAGUUCAAGGUUACCAGUGUACAGCUCUGCUUCUAACAAAGCAUCUUCCCAUUCUCUGCAGUCAGUGCACCAUGGCUCUUAUGUACUGUGCAGUUAUUGAUAUGAAAGAUGGACAGGCCUGACCAGGGAGAAGGAGGAAUCCAGGCGGCCUCAUACCUCCAGUUGUGUUGGCUAAAUCCUGAACAAUGCCGGGAAUGGGACUAGGGUUUCACUGUCACAGUCUCCCCACAGCAGUGUUUCUGCUUUUCUUUCCCUAUCUUGCUCCCUUUUCCACCUAUACUUCCUUUUAUUUUCUAUCUAAGAAGAGUCUGCUUGAGAUGUUAAAACUCCGACGUUUAGAGAGCUGCCUUGAGCCUCCUAAAAGACAGCCUGUGUUAGAGACAGCUGGGCACUACUACAAUUUCCGUGUUUCCAUGUGACCAACAGACAGCUGGCUGUGCUUGUGGUUUUCUAGCAAUGAACUUGCUAUUUAGAGCCAACACUAGAACAAGGAGAUAAGUUCCCUUCCCUUACAGCUCUUAAACCUUUUAGUUUGUAGGUCUGUCUGUUAUGGGAAGGACUAGACGUUGACAGCAUCUCCAGCAGCAGUUCCAGCCCAUUUCAGUAGACUUAAUAACUCUGUUUUCCAAAGCAGCAACACAAAGCAGUAGAUUUUCUUACUGUCUGUUAAACAAUGGUGUUUUCUAGAUGUUUUUAAAUUGAAACCCUUAAUGUUUGCAUUCCAAAUGUUUCUAUUCUUUGUUGUCGGUGUUUUGUUUUGUUUUGUUUUGUUUUCCUUUUCUAUUUUUAUUAAAGGGUUCAGAAGAUUGGUGUGGUUCACAUGAACCACAUUGUGGUUCACAUCAUAUUCAUAGGAAUAAACAAACAAAGAUUUAUGCAUCUGAAACCCCAAACGCUAUCCCAAAUCAUGUUUAGCAAUACAGUUUUGUACAGUGAUGCUUUAAUACAGUUGCUUUAAUACAACUGACCCUCUGUUUAUUUUACUGAAAUUUGACUCAGCAAAGUUAAAUCCCCCUGUAUCAUGCUUCAAGACAACUCAUUUUAUGUCUGGAUACAAACCCAAUCACCUCAUAAGCCAUGUAAUCAACACCUGCCUUAAUGUGCCUGUUAGCGCUAGUGCAGUUGAGUGGAAAAACAAAUUGCAAUGACUUUAGAGAAAUGCACUUAAUUUCUAGAGGAUGCUUGGUGAGUAUCAGAACAAUAGAGGGUGUAUUACCUACUAUAUCUACCAGCACUGCAUUUCCUUGGCGUAGGUAAUAUUAUUCAAUAAGAAAAUGGCAGCCUUCUGCCAUUGCGUUAAUUCUUGAAUGGGUACCAUGAAGUGAGCCAUCUCUUUGGCAUGUUUUAACUUAAUUUGAAAGAAACUGUUGUGUGAUGAUGAGUUCUGAAGCAAAAUCUAAAACAUGCUACUUUUCAGUUUGAAAGGUUUCGCUGUGUGAUUGCAAAUAUGAAAUUUACAGAGAUUAAUAUUAUUCUCCUGUUACUUCAUAUUCUCCAGUCAACAUGGUUUACUUUUCUGUCUUGCUAUGUACUCUUUUAUGCAGCUUUUGGUGUGUCUUUAUUUUAUUCCUACAUAAUUCAAAUAAAAGAAUCCAACAAAGAAAGCAGAGAAAUCAGCUGUGUAAGGAUGUGCUAGAGUGAACCACUGGAAAAUAAUACUUAUUUCCAUGGUCAGGCUAUGAAAGACCUGUUUUGAAUCAAAACAUUACAAGUCCAUUGGAAAAUAAUGUAGAGCUUUUUAAAUAAGACUUUUACUCUCUUCUCCUCUUUUGUACUCUUUGUUCCUUUCUCCCCCAUUUUUGGGUUAAAUGCUAGAUUCUGGACAAAACAAUCAAUUUCCUCAAGACAUAAAACAUUUUUCUCUGCUUCAGGGAAAUCUGCUUGAAAUGUGUCCAUCCUUUUUGCUCUCUAGGCUCCUGCUCUGGCCUAACAGACAGGAUGACUCCAUCUCUCCAUAUGGGUUAUUAUUUUCUUUUUCUCUGUUCUCCAUUCAUCUAAAUCUAUUCAGCCCAAAAUACAGCAACCUUCUUGGAUGAACAUCUUACAGAGAGAGCCCCAGAGUCCUCAAGAUUCUUAGGUUCCAACACACCAGCUCUUCAGGUACUUAAGACAGAGCUGCCCACCUGCCAUGUUUCCCUCACACUGCCCUACUACAGGAUUUCCAUGCUGCAUCAGGCUCGUGAUGCUCACAGGACUGCAAACUGAACAAGGAAUGACUGAAAUAUUGCUUUUAUGAAGACUGAUGUAUGAGAGGUAAUUGUUGGUUACUUGUAAGUCUAAAUCUCUGAAUUGUUUGUGGCUUGCAAUAUCACUAACAAAAUUUAUUUCUUCCUCUACCUUGUCGAAGAGGAGGAGGCUCUUCCCUUUUAUUUGAAACACUGCUUUUUUUUUUUUUCUGGCUUCCUACAUUUUCUCUGAAAUUCCUUAGGCAUUUUUCUUAAUAUAACCCUGUGCCUUGGCUACAGUACAUCACAGAUAAUUGUAUCAGAACAGUGUGGUAUAUCUGAUAUGACUACUGCAUGACUCUGAUCUGACAUGAUCUUGCUGUAAUGCUGUUGGGACAUGAUUGCUAUAUUACAGUCAGUACAGGGCUGGCACAGCGUUAGCGGGAAAGCACAAAGGCUGCGGUAGAAUUGCACAAAAUUGGAAAGAAUGCAGUGAAGCGUGGCAAAAAGUAAGAAAGAAAUGGAAGACUAAAAUGGAAGGGAGUAUCGGCAUUAAAUACAUUCAAGAAGAAAUACUGAUGGAUGAAGACUGGUAAUCUCUGAAAAUGCUAGAAAGUAAGAUAUCAUGAGAUAAUAUAUCUAUAUUUUCCUAUUAGAGAAGAAUGUACAUAUGGAAAAUGAGGAAGGAAAAUAAAAGAAAAAUACUGAAGAAUUGAACCUAAAACUAUGAAAGUAGUUGGUCUGUGGCAUCAUAUUCCAGGGGCAAAACAUGGAAAUUGUAAAAUCAGAUACUUAGCAUUCACAUCUGGGCAAACCUGUAGAAAACUGCUGAAGGUAAAAAAAUCUUUACUGCACUAUUGGAUAACUAUCAAUAAUUUAAAGCAACUUCUAUCUUGCCUUCUAUAAUUGAGUGGACAGCUAUCUCUGGCUUUAUGUCAUCUUUUUCAUAGCUAUCUUCUUUUACUAGAUUUCUUUUUUUAAGAUAAUACACAUACAUCUUAUUUAGCCCCUCCUAUUUUGUUUGUUUAACUAUCUCAAAGGAAAAAGAGUUGUUAUGCUUCCUUAUUGAGACUGAUUCCAUUCAGGCAUAUUUUCACAUUAGUCCUUUUUCAGUUUGGCACUGUCCUGUGAUUAGUCAAGUAGAAGCUAAGAAAUAAAAUAAUAUACUUUAUACAGGUGAGCUAACAUUUCAGUCCCUCCAUGAACCAUGAUCAGGGACAUAAGGAUAGACUGUCAUGAAGUACAACAUGAUCUAGUUCUAGCUACUUCAGUGGAGCUGUGACAGAAUGUAUUUGCUUAUGAUCUGAAUUUUAUAUAUUCUUUUUAUGUUGUUUUUAAUAUAGUGUAAUCUCUCAAAUACAUAUAACUUGGAAUAAUUUUGAUUUGGACCAUAUUUGAAAUGAAAAUCACGUCAUUAAGCUAUAACUUUUAUCCCAAGAUGGAGUAAAAUGCACACAAUCAUUAUUUGAGAGCAAAAAUAAAUUAGCAAUAUCCUUCCUUGCUUUAAUCUUUUACUGAAUGACAAUAAUGGCAAAUUAGAAAUUACUUCUGAGUUCUAACUUCAUUCUAUCAUUUUGGAUAUCUGCCUGUGGAACAUUUUGCAUGACUUCUAAUUACAAUGGUAUGUGAGUCUUUGAGGUCCUUCACAACGCGCCCAUGGGACAGGAAGAUGUUAUUUUUGUGCAAAUGCAAAUGGAACUGUAGUCUCACUAAUUUGCCCAGGGAAGUAGUUAUUAUAUAAAAAAUCUAUCUGGUUGUCUUUAGUUCCAGAGUAUAAUUGAGGAGCCAACAUCUUUGAUCUGAGCUGAAAAGUCAAAUGGUACCUUCAAAAAAUACAUUAACAUUCAAGAUACUGUAGAUUACUAAGAUAUUCCUUUGUGGCUUGGCUUGUUUAAAAAGAAGCAAAAGAAAUAAAUUAGACAUUUAGAUAGUUACAUACUGCCAAUGGUUCUACAGAACUGUACAUCUGUGAAGAAAACCAAUCCGGAGUGCUGCAUUGCACAACUUCGUAACACUGCAGUUAGAUUUCUCCUUGUAUUUACAGACUGGUUUAUUUUAAAAUCUAUUGAAGCGUUGUCAAGUUAUAAAUAUGCAGCUCCAUAGAUCUGGAGGUCAGAUUUCUAUGACUGUAAUAGAUAGCUUCUGCUUACAAAGCUCUUCAAUUUAUAGUCAAACUCUGCUAUCUUUUUACUUGUAUGUUUGAUUUACAAUGAAAUAUGCAUGUGAGUGAAUAAGCAGUUUUUGUCGCAAUAUUAUACGGCUUCACAGUACUGACAGUGCUCCAAAUUAAAAACAUAUAUAUGGACUAAAGUACUAAUCUAAAAGGGGCAAAAUAUGACAGUAUUUGGUAGGAAUGAUUCUAAGAGGUGUAACAGCACUUGCUUGGUUUUGUAGGAAAUAUAAUUGAACCCAGGUAUAACAGUAUUUUUCUCUCCUUGCCAGUAUUUCUGACGGUUUACAUCAAUACAAAUGAAAUCUCAUUUUUACUCCUCUAUUAAUAUUAUGAACGUUGAUUAAAACAAGUCAACAGAUACAAAAGCAGGCAUUGGUCUUAACAUCUUCAAUUUUGCCACUAUGUAAGCAUGCAACAUUUUGGAGUAUUAAGCUUUCAAUCCUACUCUUCACCUCAUCUGUGAAAAGGAACAGAAAAUAAGACUUUUUAGCAUGUAAACUUUGCCCUCAGAUCUGCCAGGGGGAGACAGAAGGGCCUGCCUCAGAGUCACGUAACACCUUGAAUCUAGUCUUGCACUGAUCCAUAUGAAUCACAGGCUUCUGAUACUGUGGCUAGUGCUUCUUUAACUAGAUGGAACACCGCAGAUUCUCUCCUGCCACAGCUACUCCAUUGGUGUAUUUAAUAAGAGCAAGACUAGAUGGCACCAGGAUCCAUAGGUGAUGGAAGCCUGAAAGCAGACUAAAUGCUGGAAGCAGACUAUGACUUGGAACCUGAAACUGUAGGCAUUAAGAUAUCAUCAGCACUCCAUAACUGCUGUGAUGGGACCGUACAGUUGCCGCUGGCAUAGUCAAUCAGAAAAUCAAUCACAGAAUCAUUUGGGUUGGAAAAGACCUCUAAGAUCUAGUCCAAUCAUCAGCUCACCCCCACUGCCCACUAACCAUGUCCCUCAGUGCCACAUCCACACAGUUCUUGAACACUUCCAGGGACAGUAACUCUACCACCUCCCUGGGUAGCCUGUUCCAACACCUCACCACUAUUUCUGAGAAGUUUUUCUUAAUAUCCAACCUGAACCUUCCCUGGUUCAGCUUAAGGCCAUUGCCUCUUUUCCUAUCACUGUUUCCUGGGAGAAGAAGCUCUACCUCUCUACAACCUCCUUUCAAGUAGUUGUAGAGAGCGAUACAGUCUCCCCUGAGCAUCCUGUUCUUUAUACUGAACAAUUUCCUCAGCCACUCCUCGUACAACUUGUGCUCCAGACCCCUCACCAGCUUCUUUGCCCUUCUUUGGACACACUCCAGGGUCCUCAAUCCCUCGGCAUCCCUUGAUUUCAUAUUGUAAUGAGGAGAAAUAAAGAAUAUUCUGUAUUUUAGUGCAAGUUCUGACAGCACAGUUGGAAUAUCCACUCUGGGUUUAUUGACUUUCUUGAUUUUCUUUCCAGCUGCCAACAAAAGGAAGACAAACUGGAAGACAAAAGGUUUCUUAAUUCUCAUUUAACAUUCUCUGUUUCUGCAGCCUUAGGUUGAACAUUCAAGCAGCUAUGGUGGCAUCACUUAAUAGUUGAUACAAUUGCCAAAAGAGACAUAUAUCAAACACUAACCCAAGGAAGGAAUUUGUCUAUAGCUGUAAAUCUUGUGAGGAAAUGCGAAGGCAAAAUCUAUUUCCCACCCUUCUUCCCCAGAUCCUAAGUAUGCAUGAAGACUUUGAAAAUGAAAUGAUCUUAGAUUUCGGUAUUUGCUGAAGUCUAUAAACGCCUCACGGCUGUUGAGAGUAAAAUGUGUGAGUUUUAGAUAUUGUCUAUAUAUAGUUCCUAUAUAUACAAUCUAUGCCUUUAAUUUCAUUUUCAUAUAAUCUUCUCAUAAUUAAUACAAUAACUCAGUGACAACAGAAAGAAAAAAACUGUGCAGAGGAUUAGGAUUAGUCCUGGGACUUACACAAGUCAGACUGCAGUGUUUCCCGUAGCAAAGACAGCUUUCAGAGCCAAGAGGCCAGGUGAGAGCCUUGACCUAUGCAUGCAGCAGCACUGACUUCGGUCCAGAUACAGAUAGCUGAAGGGCUUAGAAGAGAUUAUUCUGAGUAUGACAAUCUUGUGUCUAUCUACUGUGGCUUUUAGCCAGAUUUGUGACAUGCUUAUCCUGUAUUUCAUUGACCUGCCAUCUAUCCAGGGCUGCUCAGAGAAGUUGCGUAAUAAAACCAAUGAGCUGGCUUGGCUCCAGCUGGUCCUGAUGCCUUUCCAGUGCAGGUUACGUUAGUUGUGCGAAUGAGACCUGAGACACAACGAGAGGGAAACUAAAUAGCUCAAAGACUUUUUAAGAAGUAAAUUUCAUUUAGUCGCUAAUUGCUACUACAAAUAAAAUUUUCAGUAAAUGAGAUAAGGUUUGCAAUAUCUGCUAGGAAAUUUGCAACAUUCUUCUUAGGCUUAAAUUAACUGAUUCUGAAUUUUCUAAUGAGCUUGGCUUCAUUGAAAAUCAACUCUGUAAGUAACAGCACGUAUAAACCAUCCAACCAUUCUUACUUUCCCUGUGUGUAUAUUCAGAACCCUAUCUUCAAACAACCUUAGAGAAAGUUUUCAUUGCCUUUUUCUUCUUGUUAGUUCAGCACAGCCAAAAGUAAGGGCCUUAUUUACAUAAAGCAAACAUGCAAUGAUGCAGCAAAAGCAAUUUAGUCACACUGAUGCAAAUUCCUCAUACAGAUAUGAUGGUUGUGUGCAAAGCAGGAUGUUGCUGAAUACACACAGUAUUUAAAGCAAAGUAAAAAGCAGAGAUUCCAGCCUUCUCAACAUACUCCUCAGCAUGAUUCAUACAGAUGGUCCUGGAAGCCCAAGCUAAAAGUAAAUGGACUCAUGGAUCAAAAAUAAGGGCUCAGUUUAACCAAGAGUGUUCACGAGCAAUAUCGGUGAUGAGGAAGGAAUAUCUUUAGAUUACAAAUUGCAGUAGAUUAGCAGAUUAAUAUUAAAACAAUAACAACAACCACAAAAGAAACAUCAAAAGCACACACCUUUUAUAUUUAAAAAAAGCAUAACUGAUCUUCAAAUCAUUGAGAAAAUGAAUAUGUGAUUGCAUAGUCUCCAUUUUACAGUUACUUUUCAGAACCGAACUGAAAAUGGAUGUAUUUUUGGUCCCGGGCUGUUCUUAGUAAUUUAAUGUGAUCUGUUUUCAACAAGAAGAAGAACAAACCUCUCACACUCAGUAAGAAUAAGAAGAGAACAAAAUGUACCUUACUGAGAAUAUUCAGCUACAGACCUAUGGGCAAAAAAAUCAUACAGCCUGUGAAAGUGUGCUGAAAACCAGGUGGGUCAAAAAGUGAGGUGGCGGUACGAAUAUAAGGAAUAAGAGAGUGAGCAUUUUCCUUUGCAGUCUGCAAGGGUGCGGGGAAUUUGUUUUUUUUACUGUUAUUGUUAUUACUGUUUUAUUUUUUUUUUUAAUAGAAAUGCUCCAGAAUAUGGUGAAGUUGCUAAAAAUUAACUUUAGCACAGAAUGUCUGGAAAUUUGGUAAAUGACUCGUAGGAAUUUUUGAAACAAAAAGAUUCCAAAUAUUUUCUGUUGCAAUAUAAUGUUUACUUAACGUAAUAAUAAAUGAAAGACCAAAGUUCAAACCAAAUUAUUUCAGUGAAAGCAUAGUUUUUAAUUGAUUCCAAACUAUGUCUCCAAAUCUUUUCUUUAUAAAGUAUUUUAAAAUAGGGAAAACUUCUUUUUCCUAAUUUGAAUGGAAGCAUAUUCUGAUAUUUAGGAAUCUACUAUUAAACAAAAUAUUUGUUCUAUGCAUAAAUAAAGAUGGCAGUACCAGAGGUGCUGCUUUCAGUAUUCACAUUAGAGUAGUCGAAAAAAGAUGGUGCAUGGAGUUUCCCUUCCACAUGCAUUCACCUAGUGCUGUUGCUACUGAUGUUAAAAUGGUUGUUAAAGUAAUGGUUUUUUCCUCCUUCUACCUCCCAGGAAAGACAAAGAAAUUUAGAAUUUUCCCUUUUAGGAAUGAAAUCAAGACAAUAUCUCAACCUGGUGGAUGACAGUCUCCCAGUGGAACCAGAUGACUUGAGAAAUACUGUGUUGUUGAUCCAAAUUCUCUUUGGAGUGAAUGCACUUACAUUUAUUUAUACUUACAGUAAGAAGUUAACAAAAGUUUACAAUACUUUCUAUGUUUCUAGCAGCAAAACUAAUGCUAACAAGAAUCCUAGUAGGAAUCCUCAUCAGAGAAAGAGAUGAGGACAAGGGAAGUGCUUAGGCAGGUAGGAAGCUAAGCAUUCAAUUAUCACUGCAUUUUGAAUCCACAGGCACUACAGCUAUACCCCCUACCCUAUAAUUCCUGAGAUUACUGAGAUUUAACAAACAGAAGCUGUGGCCCCCACUGGAUAAUUCCCAAGUUCCUUGAAAUGAGUCUAAUACCCAACAGGGUUGCUUGUGCUGCCUCAGAAAGCUAUUUCUGGCAUUUUGUGUGUCAGAAAAGAAACUGGAUGUGAUGGAUUUGGAGCUGCCCUGUGAUAAUUUAGGAAUGAGGUCUGUUGGCCUCAUUCAUUUUAGAUGAAUAUCUAAAAACUCAUUCAGGAUGGACUUGCCAGUGCAUUCUUAAAUUCUCUCUGGGACAGUCAGUACUGGCAAUGCUGGGAUGCCCCACUUAUAUAGAGGCUGCACAGACAGGGAGUACAGGGGCUUUAAGCAGGGAAUAGAUUUAGUUCUGAACCACAGCAUCUCUGCACAGGCAAUCCUAGCAUCCUACUCAUCCCUAGGAAUGAAGUCGGUCUCCAGAGGUCCACUGGGAUUUAGAGAUGGGACGUGUCAUUGGUUGAUAAAGUAAUUGGCUAAAGUGUUGCCAUUAAACUGGGAUGUCUUCAUGGUUAGCCAACUUCAUUCCAUGUGUUCAUGGAAUUGUCCAUGGAAGGGAAGGUUAACCCUACAAAUACAUUUCAGUGAUUUUUAUCUACUGGACAUUCAGAAUUGUCACAUUGCCUUUCCUUUAGGCAAGAACCUUUUUUGUGAAGGAAAGGGACCAUAAUACCUAAUCAGAUGAUCCUUGGGUUAAUUUACAAAAGCACUGCAACAUCUCUGAACAUUAAACUAAUGACACUGUUAAUCCACAGCUUAUGCUUACAGCAUGUUGAAUGGAGUGCUGGGAACAUCAGAUGGCUGGUCCUCUCCUUGGUGUUGGACCCAGGUGUGGAGAGCUUCCAACUGAGAUGAAGUUGGACAAGCAAUUUUUGAGUGCUAGUGCUUAUUUUUUAUGUGCCGAAUUUGACUCAGGUAAAUGGUGUAUAUAAUAGGAUGCAAAGAAGAUUUCUAAGAAACCAUUCCUCAACUAAGGGAAAAACAUUGUGUGCGUGUGUGUGUGUGUACAUUGGGUAAUUAUAGUAUAGAAUACAUAAAACUGAAAAUCCUAAGAAAAAAACAUUGAGACAGGUUUUUGAAUGUUUUCUCUCUCUUUCCUGAUAAGACCAGACAAGUACAUAGUUUACUGUAGCUUUAUGGGUUUGUGACUGCGGAAUUCAAAAAGGCAGCCUGCGGGCCUAAGCCAUUUUGUAGAUGGAUUUCUAAUUCAGCCAUCUUAGCUAGUGAGGUACUAUGUUCAUUCACUGCUUAUUCUAGCUGUUCUGGUAAGUAAGGUUCUCCUUGAUCACUGUUGCUGGAAAGACUAUUAUAUUACAUCCCCCUAAAUGAAUUUCUAAUGUACUCAUUUCGCCUCCAAAGGACAUCUCUUAAACUUUCUGCUUGUCAUUCAACAGUCAAAACAACCAUAUAUUAAGACAUCCAUUCACCAAGAGAAGCUGGAAUAGAAAAUGCUGUAUAUUCUGGAGUAGAACCUCUCAGCAACUACUUUAUGUUGCUAUUUGUGGACUCCGGCCAAAAAGUUGCUACCUCCUGAAUGACUAGAGUGGCAGAAGCAUUUUUUAAUGACAUAGAUUGAGUGCUGAGUCUUCUCUGCCACUUCCUUCCCUGUUGCCACAAAAAGGAUAAAAUUGUCCAGAUCACAGUGCCAGCACCAGAGCUUUAUUUUGGUCUAUGAGAAAACUUUGUAAAGAGAUUAUUUACUGUCACAUGGCUGUCUCAAGAGGAGGAAAUGUACAUGCCAGCACUUAGUGGUAAUCCAGGAAGGACUGUAUUUUGUAAGGCCUCAUGACUGCUAGAAAAUCUAGAAAUGCAAGAAGGCAAACAGUGAACCAGAGGCAAAAGGAAGAAAUCAAAGUCAACAAUUAAAUUGUUUUUGUCUAAAAAUAGUGUAUGGAGCUCCUAAUCACUAGCCCUUUGUUGAGAAGUCCUGCUGGGUAGUCAGUGGCUAUGGCAUUCUGUAGCUGAAGCUCCAGAAUAUACUUUUUGUACAGUAAUUUGCAGGAACCUACACUGAAAAUGGCAAAGGCCUAGGCUAUGGUGACAAAGUCUGCAUCUAAAGAGAAGACAAAAUGCUGAUGGAAUAAUAGUGCUUCUACAAUUUGCUUUAACUGGGGUGUCUGGAACAAGCAGAGGGUAUAGCAAAACACUCUGAACAGAAUAAGUAGCGUAACAAACUCUUGAAUUCUUCUGCAAGUAUGGAAGAUGGUAGGAGAGAUGAAAUAAUAUGUUUCUGAAUGUUUCCUCCAGCCAGUCAGAAUGACUUCCACAUUUUCUAAGCUGACUCUGCGACAGCUUGUCAGUCUUCAUUUUGUCUCUAUUGAUUUGUCAUCCCAGUGAAGCACUGAAGAGCCCAAUGAGUCAAGGCCUGCUCCUAGCAGUAACUUGACCAAAUUGUCCACUGCUUUAAGACCAAAGACAUUUUUCAGACUUUUUCAAAGCAGCACCAAACAGCUCAGCUUGGGAUACCUGUGUCACAGGAAAAACAUUGAAAUGUGAAGUUCUGCAUCAAUUAAAAAUAUUACUAGUUGUAUUUGGUGUCUGCCUGGGACAGAAAUGUGAGGGUCGUCUGUAUUACCUCAUUGACAAAAACAUUGACAUUGUUUUCCGGAAGGACAACACAGCAGCCAUUCAGGAUUUACUCUUUUUUUUUUGUCUGCAAAGUUUGCCAUUCCUCCAUAAGAGAUGUAAAAGGAUUACUUGUGGGUCUUUUCAGAGCAGAGGGUUAUUUGAUUUGCUCUGAAUUCCCCCGUGCCCCUUUUUACUGAAAAGUCUGGAUUAGACUAAGUAGACUUCCAGGUGGUCAGCCCUAUACAGCUAUCUGAGGUAGGCUUGAUGAUAAGUUUUUUCUCUACAGUUCAUUACAUCUAUCCUGGAAAUCCAUCAUUUUAUUAGAGGAUUCUUGAGAUAGGAUGCUGAGGAUUCUGAGGAGUCUAUUGUACUUGUUUGACCCAUCUGCUGUCUACUUCAGUGUGGGAUUGCCCAGCUGAAGUGUUUUCCCAUCACAUUUCUCAACCAUGAUUAGCAGCGUUGUGCUUCAGUUCUGCCCAGGUCAGGGUUGGGUCAAAGGCAAGGCUAGUCAUCCUGCAUGUUAUGCACUAUGUUUUUCUUUAUCUCAUCUCUUUUUGCAAUGAUGUAUGGUUUCAGAACAGCAGUGACUCCCCCUUAUUAGUGAUUUAAUGUCUUGAAGGUCUGUAGGGUAAUGACCAUGUGCACCUCUGUUGUUCCUAACCUGGAUGCAGGUUGCCUUUGUCAUAGCAGCAGAUAAUUUGCUUAAUGAUUGUAUUUGUAUAGUGGUGGGCUCCUUUCUUUCCUGAGUGUCUUUGCCACCUGCCCAACAUGCUAUCUAGCAUAUGAUCUAGUGUUAGGACAGGGUACCUUGUUUAAAAACACUCCUGGUGCCCAGAGCCAUCUACCUCUUUUUGCCCUAACAUAAUAGAAUCUCCUCUGGUUAGACAGACAUGUCACAGAUAUUUAAUCACACCUUCACCAGGCUUAUGCCUACAUUUUCCCACAAAUUAGCCAGCUUAAGGGAAUCCCAAAGAAUGGUCCUUUUGGUCACCUCCAUGGCGUCCGGCAGAUAACUCAGUUUUAGUAAUAGGGGCUACCGUAAAUUCACUCAGCACAAGUGAGUUACAUGAAUUAGAGGCUGCUGAAAAAUUCUGAAACAUCCAAUUCAUCCUUGUCACUUUCUUGAUCAGAGUCAUUCCAAAUAUCUGCAUCCUAACCUCCCAGGAGCAGGAUCUUUAAAGGAUCUGAGGGGUUGUGGAUGCGAGUUAUCGUUAUUUCUACCUUGCCCUCUACACUUUGUCUUUCCUUUUCUCCCCUAUUUGUUCCUGUAAUUGUUCUAUAUGCAGGGAUAGUAGUAUUUUUGUGCUGCUUUCUUUGUUCAACCUUAUCGCGUAACAUUCUCAUUUCAUUUUCUUUACAUUCCUUAUACUGACUUGCUGUUUCCAAACAUGUUCCUAGUGUCUUGCAUAUGAUUCCCUUUUUGUUAAUGUUUUUCAUUUUCCUUGUUGUGAGGUUCGUCCAUUCUUCUACUUUAUCCUAGCUAUCCCAAUGUUUAUGUGCCCCUUCUUCCAAGAAUUCUGACAAAGGGUUAGCUCCAUGCAUCUGUAAGUGAUCAGCGACUGAACAUGCCAUCUUGCCAACUGCACUGAUCUUUGUCACAGGUGAAUUAUCAAAACAACUUCUCCUUGUGAAGUUAACCAGAAGAAUUUAUUAGCCACUAUUUAAACAGAAUUACUGAUUAAACAAAAGUGGCAGUCGAACACUCUAUGAUGGAUGGUUAAUUGGCAUCGAAACCUCUCCUACUUACUACAGGCCUAAUAAUUAAGUUAGCCUGAAGUGUAUGCAAUGCCACUUAGGCUUGAUACAUAUGAAUGUUGUAUGUACAUAGAAAUGUCUCUUGCUUCACUGUAGACAUCAGAUAAGGGAUCUCUCAACACUGAGGAGUAACCUUGAAACGUGUCCCUACUCAAGGGGAGAUUGCCACCAUGCAGCCCGUUGCCAUGCUGGAGAGCUCAACCAACUCUAUCAGCUGCAAAUAUUUAUAACAUAAGGUUGUUGACUGGUAGUCCAACUUCUUCCUUCAAUGGUCAUACAGUAUGUGCCAUUUUUCUCUUUCUUAUCAGUAGUUUUCCAGCUACAACUGUUCUGCAUUCAUGUUCUUGGGCAGUUGGUGUAGUUCCUGAUAUGGCAUGUCUCUUCAUGCUGACAUAGAAUGACUCUGCACUAUUUUGCAAAAUUUCCAUACCCGUUCAACUCCAAUUAGGCCUGCUUAUCAGCAGCAUCUGAACCAAAAAAACUGCCAGCAUGAGAUAAAAAGAGUCCAUCUCAUACCCUGAUGGCCAGAGGCAGUGUAGUGUGGCUGUGGUCUGAAAACCAUGCAGCCAGGUUGGCAUAAAGGGGUGCAGCAUCUUAAUAACUGUUCCCACAUUUUCUUUGAGAAAUGCAGUUCUACACUCCAAGGCUUUUCCCUUCACUCUGUUGCCUUCCUAUAGUGAAUAGACGUUAGGAAAUACUACUUCUCUGAAAGGGUGGUCAGGCACUGGAAUGGGCUGCCCAGAGAGGUGGAGUCACCGACCCUGGAGGUGUUCAAAGAACGUUUGGAUGUUGUGUUGAGGGACAUGGUUUAGCGAGAACCAUUGGUGAUGGGCAAAUGGUUGGAUUGGGUGAUCCUGUGGGCCUUUUCCAACCUUAGCGAUUCUAUGAUUCUAUGAUUCUAUGAUUCUAUGAAUGGCUGUGUAUCUUGGGAUGGCUACUUGUUACUGCUUUUUGCUCCCGCCCUGAGUACUCCUAGUAAAAUUUCGUCACUAACAGCAAGGAGAGCAGGGCUUUACAUUCAAAUCAUACAAGUUCAAACAUUUAUUUUAAAACAGAUGCUGUUUGGAUGUCAUGAGAUUACAGAUUUUACAGCAGAGUUCAAGUGCACUUUGCAAACAUUUCAAGCAAACAAAUUUUGCAGGAAACAAAAUUGUAUAUAUUACUAAUCUCUGGGACACAAGUGGUUCAUGGGGAUAAUCAUUUCCAACAAAGCACCUGCUCAAAUCCUCUGCAGGUGGCCUCUGUACCUUUAGAUAGUCUCUAUUUUCCUGUCCAGACUCCUACUGGAGAAACAGCUAAUUCUAGUUGCAGAAACUGGUCUAAUUAACUUAUGGCUUCCUGUCGUUCAUUAGAAAUACAUCAUUCAUUGACUUUCCAGUCGUUUGCCAUUAAAACUAAUCAAAUGCGCCCCUAGUGGCAUUUUUGUUGCUUUUUUUCACUUUACAGAACUCAUGCCGUCAUUAUUAGUUUUAAUUCCUGAGUCUGUUUCAUCAUUUAGCAUUUACAGACUCUCGGCGUGUUAGCUCCCAUCACAAGGACUUAGCAGAACACCAUCAUAUGGUGCUGGACAGCCAAGAUGGCAGAGAGGAGGGCAGGAUUUGAGCAAGGUUGGGAGGCAGAAGGUGCUUUGGAAAAACGCUGCUGGUGUUGUGCUUCCCUGUGUGUUGGCAAGAUGAGAGCUGAGAGGGUAAAGCUGUGUUGGUAUUUGGAAGUAGGAAUGACAUUUAUCUCUGAUCUAGAUGAGGUUGGCAGGAAGUGGGCUACUGAGCCAUCUGGCAUGAGCUUGAAUCAGCCUAUGACUGACCCAUGACCAAUACGUAGGCGAUGUUUUAUGUCUGCGUGCGUACUUAAGUUUAAGCAUUUGAUUCAGUAAAAUGGUGCGUCCAAACCAGAA